UUAAGCGACUAAGCGUACACGGUGGAUGCCCUGGCAGUCAGAGGCGAUGAAGGACGUGCUAAUCUGCGAUAAGCGUCGGUAAGGUGAUAUGAACCGUUAUAACCGGCGAUUUCCGAAUGGGGAAACCCAGUGUGAUUCGUCACACUAUCAUUAACUGAAUCCAUAGGUUAAUGAGGCGAACCGGGGGAACUGAAACAUCUAAGUACCCCGAGGAAAAGAAAUCAACCGAGAUUCCCCCAGUAGCGGCGAGCGAACGGGGAGGAGCCCAGAGCCUGAAUCAGUGUGUGUGUUAGUGGAAGCGUCUGGAAAGGCGCGCGAUACAGGGUGACAGCCCCGUACACAAAAAUGCACAUAUUGUGAGCUCGAUGAGUAGGGCGGGACACGUGGUAUCCUGUCUGAAUAUGGGGGGCCCAUCCUCCAAGGCUAAAUACUCCUGACUGACCGAUAGUGAACCAGUACCGUGAGGGAAAGGCGAAAAGAACCCCGGCGAGGGGAGUGAAAAAGAACCUGAAACCGUGUACGUACAAGCAGUGGGAGCACGCUUAGGCGUGUGACUGCGUACCUUUUGUAUAAUGGGUCAGCGACUUAUAUUCUGUAGCAAGGUUAACCGAAUAGGGGAGCCGAAGGGAAACCGAGUCUUAACUGGGCGUUAAGUUGCAGGGUAUAGACCCGAAACCCGGUGAUCUAGCCAUGGGCAGGUUGAAGGUUGGGUAACACUAACUGGAGGACCGAACCGACUAAUGUUGAAAAAUUAGCGGAUGACUUGUGGCUGGGGGUGAAAGGCCAAUCAAACCGGGAGAUAGCUGGUUCUCCCCGAAAGCUAUUUAGGUAGCGCCUCGUGAAUUCAUCUCCGGGGGUAGAGCACUGUUUCGGCAAGGGGGUCAUCCCGACUUACCAACCCGAUGCAAACUGCGAAUACCGGAGAAUGUUAUCACGGGAGACACACGGCGGGUGCUAACGUCCGUCGUGAAGAGGGAAACAACCCAGACCGCCAGCUAAGGUCCCAAAGUCAUGGUUAAGUGGGAAACGAUGUGGGAAGGCCCAGACAGCCAGGAUGUUGGCUUAGAAGCAGCCAUCAUUUAAAGAAAGCGUAAUAGCUCACUGGUCGAGUCGGCCUGCGCGGAAGAUGUAACGGGGCUAAACCAUGCACCGAAGCUGCGGCAGCGACGCUUAUGCGUUGUUGGGUAGGGGAGCGUUCUGUAAGCCUGCGAAGGUGUGCUGUGAGGCAUGCUGGAGGUAUCAGAAGUGCGAAUGCUGACAUAAGUAACGAUAAAGCGGGUGAAAAGCCCGCUCGCCGGAAGACCAAGGGUUCCUGUCCAACGUUAAUCGGGGCAGGGUGAGUCGACCCCUAAGGCGAGGCCGAAAGGCGUAGUCGAUGGGAAACAGGUUAAUAUUCCUGUACUUGGUGUUACUGCGAAGGGGGGACGGAGAAGGCUAUGUUGGCCGGGCGACGGUUGUCCCGGUUUAAGCGUGUAGGCUGGUUUUCCAGGCAAAUCCGGAAAAUCAAGGCUGAGGCGUGAUGACGAGGCACUACGGUGCUGAAGCAACAAAUGCCCUGCUUCCAGGAAAAGCCUCUAAGCAUCAGGUAACAUCAAAUCGUACCCCAAACCGACACAGGUGGUCAGGUAGAGAAUACCAAGGCGCUUGAGAGAACUCGGGUGAAGGAACUAGGCAAAAUGGUGCCGUAACUUCGGGAGAAGGCACGCUGAUAUGUAGGUGAAGUCCCUUGCGGAUGGAGCUGAAAUCAGUCGAAGAUACCAGCUGGCUGCAACUGUUUAUUAAAAACACAGCACUGUGCAAACACGAAAGUGGACGUAUACGGUGUGACGCCUGCCCGGUGCCGGAAGGUUAAUUGAUGGGGUCAGCGCAAGCGAAGCUCUUGAUCGAAGCCCCGGUAAACGGCGGCCGUAACUAUAACGGUCCUAAGGUAGCGAAAUUCCUUGUCGGGUAAGUUCCGACCUGCACGAAUGGCGUAAUGAUGGCCAGGCUGUCUCCACCCGAGACUCAGUGAAAUUGAACUCGCUGUGAAGAUGCAGUGUACCCGCGGCAAGACGGAAAGACCCCGUGAACCUUUACUAUAGCUUGACACUGAACAUUGAGCCUUGAUGUGUAGGAUAGGUGGGAGGCUUUGAAGUGUGGACGCCAGUCUGCAUGGAGCCGGCCUUGAAAUACCACCCUUUAAUGUUUGAUGUUCUAACGUGGACCCGUGAUCCGGGUUGCGGACAGUGUCUGGUGGGUAGUUUGACUGGGGCGGUCUCCUCCUAAAGAGUAACGGAGGAGCACGAAGGUUGGCUAAUCCUGGUCGGACAUCAGGAGGUUAGUGCAAUGGCAUAAGCCAGCUUGACUGCGAGCGUGACGGCGCGAGCAGGUGCGAAAGCAGGUCAUAGUGAUCCGGUGGUUCUGAAUGGAAGGGCCAUCGCUCAACGGAUAAAAGGUACUCCGGGGAUAACAGGCUGAUACCGCCCAAGAGUUCAUAUCGACGGCGGUGUUUGGCACCUCGAUGUCGGCUCAUCACAUCCUGGGGCUGAAGUAGGUCCCAAGGGUAUGGCUGUUCGCCAUUUAAAGUGGUACGCGAGCUGGGUUUAGAACGUCGUGAGACAGUUCGGUCCCUAUCUGCCGUGGGCGCUGGAGAACUGAGGGGGGCUGCUCCUAGUACGAGAGGACCGGAGUGGACGCAUCACUGGUGUUCGGGUUGUCAUGCCAAUGGCACUGCCCGGUAGCUAAAUGCGGAAGAGAUAAGUGCUGAAAGCAUCUAAGCACGAAACUUGCCCCGAGAUGAGUUCUCCCUGACCCUUUAAGGGUCCUGAAGGAACGUUGAAGACGACGACGUUGAUAGGCCGGGUGUGUAAGCGCAGCGAUGCGUUGAGCUAACCGGUACUAAUGAACCGUGAGGCUUAACCUU
rnacentral:rRNA from 1 species